rnacentral:snoRNA from 1 species
UUUGCACACUGUUAGAGCUCAGAGCUGAAGCCAGUUUCUGGCUAAUGAACUCUCGAGUGUAGGAUGUGUGCUAUAGCAACUGGACAGGUCUUCUCGCUAACACCACAAGGACCUUUUUUUGGUCCAAUGAGUGGAAUUUGAUGGUGAUUCUUGUCACAGCA